UUCUAAAAAAUAGAUAAAGAGGAUAUGCAUACAAAGAAGAGAUAUGUUACGGCUCAUAACAUGCCUUUCUUUAUAUAUGUAUCCCCUCCACCUAUUCUUUGGCAUCCUCCGUCUGGUGCAGUGAUACAAUUUCGAGCCCGCGCACAACGUUGAUUUUCCCCCUUCACUUAUGUACACAGAGAUAUGUCGACUUAGCCGAAUGCGUGAUCACACGAUUCACAAAGCGGCUCUAUGAAUGUAAGUGGAAGAGGAAAACCGAUGAUGUGCUCGAAAUCGCAUCAUUGGUCUGGUGUCAUCAUUGGUCGCUCAGCAUCACGUUGCGCGGGAAGUAAUAACAACAGUGCUGGUGAAAUUAUAUAACCGCCAGUUAAGUUAAUCGAAAAAAUCGAAGGUUAAAGUUAAUCUACAUUGGUAAAAAUGAACAUUAAGGACGUUAUGUCACCAUUAUGUUUUAUUGCACAUUGUUACAUUUAGAAUAACUGAAGAUUAGAAUUGCAGAAAUUAUAAAUCUUUAGCAGUGUUAAUGAAGAAAGAACAUUAUAAAACAGAAAAAUAUAAUAGUUUUCUCUAAUUUCGAUAUAAUUGAUAUCGUGACGCUACGGCGUUGCACACACCAUCUAUUUAUCUUUCACCAUCUAUUUAUGUUUUUAUUUAUUGAGACAAUUAAAAUGGAAUAUAAUUCUCAAUAUGACUAUUGAAAUUGCUGUGAAAAUACUUACGGAUAAACCAACUGCAUAACACAUUAAAAAGAGAUCAUUUUAAGAAAAUUACCAAUAUCAUCAAUAUGUAUGCUGUACUAGAAUUGCCUGUAUACAUAUCUAAGCCAACUAUUUAUGCAGUACCAGCUUGUACUAAAUGGCUAGAAAAUAUUUAUAUUAAAAUAUGUACAGAAAAUGGUAAAGAAACUAGAUUUGCUGAUAUAUGCAAGUGGUCUCCAGAUGAAUCUAAAUUAAGUGAUUAUCUGGAAAAAAAGACAAGACCAACUGAUACUCGGACCACUUAUAAAAAUGUUAAAAUUUUAAAAUUUUGCAGUAUAUAUUAUAUGUAU